GGGCGUUUGGUUUAGUGGUAUAACGUAUCACCCGCAUGACCUCGCGAUGAUAAGGUCGCCGGUUCGAUUCCGGCAACGUCCA